rnacentral:rRNA from 1 species
GAUCCUGGCUCAGGAUGAACGCUAGCUACAGGCUUAACACAUGCAAGUCGAGGGGAAACGACAUCGAAAGCUUGCUUUUGAUGGGCGUCGACCGGCGCACGGGUGAGUAACGCGUAUCCAACCUGCCCACCACUUGGGGAUAACCUUGCGAAAGUAAGACUAAUACCCAAUGAUAUCUCUAGAAGACAUCUGAAAGGGAUUAAAGAUUUAUCGGUGGUGGAUGGGGAUGCGUCUGAUUAGCUUG